AAACGGCUUAAUAGGGAAGGCGGUGAAAGGCCGCCGCGGUUGCGCCACUGUAUGCGGGUUUAGCUUGGGUCCGGUUUCUCAUAUCUUAAGAUUUGAGACGGGAAACUCCAGGCGUAUCCCGCGAGUCAGGACACCUGCCCGGGUA
rnacentral:ncRNA from 1 species